rnacentral:rRNA from 1 species
ACGCUAGCUACAGGCUUAACACAUGCAAGUCGAGGGGCAUCAGUUUGGUUUGCUUGCAAACCAAAGCUGGCGACCGGCGCACGGGUGAGUAACACGUAUCCAACCUGCCUCAUACUCGGGGAUAGCCUUUCGAAAGAAAGAUUAAUAUCCGAUAGCAUAUAUUUCCCGCAUGGGUUUUAUAUUAAAGAAAUUCGGUAUGAGAUGGGGAUGCGUUCCAUUAGUUUGUUGGGGGGGUAACGGCCCACCAAGACUACGAUGGAUAGGGGUUCUGGGAGGAAGGUCCCCCACAUUGGAACUGAGACACGGUCCAAACUCCUACGGGAGGCAGCAGUGAGGAAUAUUAGUCAAUGGACGCGAGUCUGAACCAGCCAAGUAGCGCGAAGGAUGACUGCCCUAUGGGUUGUAAACUUCUUUUAUAUGGGAAUAAAGUUGUCCACGUGUGGAUUUUUGUAUGUACCAUAUGAAUAAGGAUCGGCUAACUCCGUGCCAGCAGCCGCGGUAAUACGGAGGAUCCGAGCGUUAUCCGGAUUUAUUGGGUUUAAAGGGAGCGUAGGCGGAUUGUUAAGUCAGUUGUGAAAGUUUGCGGCUCAACCGUAAAAUUGCAGUUGAUACUGGCAGUCUUGAGUGCAGUAGAGGUGGGCGGAAUUCGUGGUGUAGCGGUGAAAUGCUUAGAUAUCACGAAGAACUCCGAUUG